UGGGGAAUAUUGGACAAUGGGCGAAAGCCUGAUCCAGCCAUGCCGCGUGUGUGAAGAAGGUCUUCGGAUUGUAAAGCACUUUAAGUUGGGAGGAAGGGCAUUAACCUAAUACGUUAGUGUUUUGACGUUACCGACAGAAUAAGCACCGGCUAACUCUGUGCCAGCAGCCGCGGUAAUACAGAGGGUGCAAGCGUUAAUCGGAAUUACUGGGCGUAAAGCGCGCGUAGGUGGUUUGUUAAGAUGGAUGUGAAAUCCCCGGGCUCAACCUGGGAACUGCAUUCAAAACUGACUGACUAGAGUAUGGUAGAGGGUGGUGGAAUUUCCUGUGUAGCGGUGAAAUGCGUAGAUAUAGGAAGGAACACCAGUGGCGAAGGCGACCACCUGGACUAAUACUGACACUGAGGUGCGAAAGCGUGGGGAGCAAACA
rnacentral:rRNA from 1 species